UGGGUCUUAAAAAAAGAGAUCUUUAAAUUUAGAGCAGCUUGCUGGAAAAUCAGUGGUUACAAAUAUAAUUUUACAAACAUGUAUUUAUUUGUAAGAACACUGCCUGUACUACUUGAGACAACACAUCUUACAUCAGUAGCCACAACUCCAUCCAGAGCUCACUGACAUGAGGGAACAGGCUACUGAAAAUAAAUUUAAAAAAGAACAAUGAUGUGAAGUAGAGGCUGUCAGACAUGGAACAUCUUAUUGCCUCAUCUGAAUAUGCCGAUUAUUCUCAUUAUAUCAUUGUAUUCAUGUGUGUAUGCGGCGCAGAGUCGUGUGUGAUGUCUGGAUGUCCCUGCAGGAUGUCUCAUCUUGGAGGCCAGUCACUUUCUGGAAAACUACAGCGGGUCAGUUGGAACUUGUUUAGUUGAAUUGUGCCUUGGGGAACACAAUCUUGGAAAACUCCCAUAUCCUUCAAUUGGGACUUCAUAUGUUUCUCCCGACAUGGAACAGGGGCUACAGGCUAGUUAUUGUAAUGACAAGCAAUAUAUGGAACGGCUUCUCUAUGUUGUUUGUGUCAUGUCUGUGAUUUCUCGUGCAAUGUACUCUCACUGUAUGUGGAUGAACAGUUAAAUAUAAAUAAACAAAUGUCCUCAUUUUUUAAUUAAUUAGUGAGCAAACCCUUGGAACUGACAUUUCUAACUUUUAUAGCGCAUCCAAGUGAGCCUGUAUUGUUUUUCAAGCUCUUUCCUUGAAAAGGGUAUAGCUAUGAACUAGAUGGUAUUUGCAUGUCUCUGUAACAUCAUUUUAACUGCUUAAAUGUAAAAGGCUGUUACUUAUUCCAUCACCAGCCUCUAUGUACUCGACUGUCAGCUUCUCUUUUGAUGGUACACAUGACAACUAAAUCAGCAUAUAAAUAAAAUGUAU